GAUGAACGCUGGCGGCGUGCUUAACACAUGCAAGUCGAACGAACCUUCGGGUUAGUGGCGGACGGGUGAGUAACGCGUGAGAAUCUGCCCUCAGGAGGGGGAUAACGGUUGGAAACGACCGCUAAUACCCCAUAUGCCUAUUGGUGAAAUGAAUUUCGCCUGAGGAUGAGCUCGCGUCUGAUUAGCUAGUUGGUGAGAUAAUGGCUCACCAAGGCUUCGAUCAGUAGCUGGUCUGAGAGGAUGAUCAGCCACACUGGGACUGAGACACGGCCCAGACUCCUACGGGAGGCAGCAGUGGGGAAUUUUCCGCAAUGGGCGAAAGCCUGACGGAGCAACGCCGCGUGAGGGACGAAGGCCUCUGGGCUGUAAACCUCUUUUCUCAAGGAAGAAGAUAUGACGGUACUUGAGGAAUAAGCCACGGCUAAUUCCGUGCCAGCAGCCGCGGUAAUACGGGAGUGGCAAGCGUUAUCCGGAAUUAUUGGGCGUAAAGCGUCCGCAGGCGGCUUAUCAAGUCUGCUGUUAAAGCGUGGAGCUUAACUCCAUUAUGGCAGUGGAAACUGAUAGGCUUGAGUAUGGUAGGGGCAGAGGGAAUUCCCGGUGUAGCGGUGAAAUGCGUAGAUAUCGGGAAGAACACCAGUGGCGAAGGCGCUCUGCUGGGCCAUUACUGACGCUCAUGGACGAAAGCCAGGGGAGCGAAAGGGAUUAGAUACCCCUGUAGUCCUGGCCGUAAACGAUGAACACUAGGUGUCGGGGGAAUCGACCCCUUCGGUGUCGUAGCUAACGCGUUAAGUGUUCCGCCUGGGGAGUACGCACGCAAGUGUGAAACUCAAAGGAAUUGACGGGGGCCCGCACAAGCGGUGGAGUAUGUGGUUUAAUUCGAUGCAACGCGAAGAACCUUACCAGGGUUUGACAUCCUGCGAACCUCUUAGAAAUUUGAGGGUGCCUUCGGGAAUGCAGUGACAGGUGGUGCAUGGCUGUCGUCAGCUCGUGUCGUGAGAUGUUGGGUUAAGUCCCGCAACGAGCGCAACCCACGUUUUUAGUUGCCAGCAUUUAGUUGGGCACUCUAGAAAGACCGCCGGUGAUAAACCGGAGGAAGGUGUGGAUGGCGUCAAGUCAUCAUGCCCCUUACACCCUGGGCUACACACGUACUACAAUGCUACGGACAAAGGGCAGCAAGCUCGCGAGAGCUAGCAAAUCCCAUAAACCGUGGCUCAGUUCAGAUCGUAGGCUGCAACUCGCCUACGUGAAGUAGGAAUCGCUAGUAAUCGCAGGUCAGCAUACUGCGGUGAAUACGUUCCCGGGCCUUGUACACACCGCCCGUCACACCAUGGAAGUUGGCCAUGCCCGAAGUCGUUACUCCAACCCUUGUGGAGGAGGACGCCGAAGGUGGGGCUAAUGACUGGGGUG
rnacentral:rRNA from 1 species